rnacentral:rRNA from 1 species
GACGAACGCUGGCGGCGUGCUUAACACAUGCAAGUCGAACGGAAAGGCCCUGCUUUUGUGGGGUGCUCGAGUGGCGAACGGGUGAGUAACACGUGAGUAACCUGCCCUUGACUUUGGGAUAACUUCAGGAAACUGGGGCUCAUACCGGAUAGGAGCUCCUGCUGCAUGGUGGAGGUUGGAAAGUUUCGGCGGUUGGGGAUGGACUCGCGGCUUAUCAGCUUGUUGGUGGGGUAGUGGCUUACCAAGGCUUUGAUGGGUAGCCGGCCUGAGAGGGUUACCGGCCACAUUGGGACUGAGAUACGGCCCAGACUCCUACGGGAGGCAGCAGUGGGGAAUAUUGCACAAUGGGCGGAAGCCUGAUGCAGCAACGCCGCGUGCGGGAUGACGGCCUUCGGGUUUUAAACCGCUUUCGCCUGUGACGAAGCGUGAGUGACGGUAAUGGGUAAAGAAGCACGGGCUAACUACGUG